UACGUAGGGUGCGAGCGUUAAUCGGAAUUACUGGGCGUAAAGUGUGCGCAGGCGGUUAUAUAAGACAGAUGUGAAAUCCCCGGGCUUAACCUGGGAACUGCGUUUGUGACUGUAGGGCUAGAGUGCGGCAGAGGGGGGUAGAAUUCCACGUGUAGCAGUGAAAUGCGUAGAGAUGUGGAGGAAUACCGAUGGCGAAGGCAGCCCCUGGGUCGACACUGACGCUCAUGCACGAAAGCGUGGGGAGCAAACAGGAUUAGAUACCCUAGUAGU
rnacentral:rRNA from 1 species